rnacentral:rRNA from 1 species
AGAAUCAACGCUGGCGGCGUGCCUAACACAUGCAAGUCGAACGAGAAAGUGGAGCAAUCCAUUAGUAAAGUGGCGCACGGGUGAGUAACACGUGACUAACCUACCCUUGAGUGGGGGAUAACCUAGAGAAAUCUGGGCUAAUACCGCAUAAUACCUUCGGGUCAAAGGAGCAAUUCGCUUAAGGAGGGGGUCGCGGCCGAUUAGUUAGUUGGCGGGGUAAUGGCCCACCAAGACGAUGAUCGGUAUCC